UAAUACGGAGGGUGCGAGCGUUAUUCGGAAUUAUUGGGCGUAAAGAGCGCGUAGGCGGCCUGUCAAGUCAGGUGUGAAAUCCCGGGGCUCAACCCCGGAAGUGCAUUUGAUACUGUAGGGCUUGAGUAUGGGAGAGGGAAGUGGAAUUCCUGGUGUAGCGGUGAAAUGCGUAGAUAUCAGGAGGAACACCGGUGGCGAAGGCGGCUUCCUGGACCAAUACUGACGCUGAGGCGCGAAGGCGUGGGGAGCAAACAGGAUUAGAUACCCUGGUAGUCCACGCAGUAAACGGUGAUCACUAGGUGUAGCGGGUAUUGACCCCUGCUGUGCCGGAGUUAACGCAUUAAGUGAUCCGCCUGGGGAGUACGAUCGCAAGAUUAAAACUCAAAGGAAUUGACGG
rnacentral:rRNA from 1 species